rnacentral:lncRNA from 1 species
GCAGCAGUUUUCUACGUCUGAAAUUUUUUAUGUCUCUGGAACCCAGAAUUUGCUAAGAGAUGGAGGAACCUCAGAAAAGCUAUGUGAACACAAUGGACCUUGAGAGAGAUGAACCUCUCAAAAGCACCGGCCCUCAGAUUUCUGUUAGUGAAUUUUCUUGCCACUGCUGCUACGACAUCCUGGUUAACCCCACCACCUUGAACUGUGGGCACAGCUUCUGCCGUCACUGCCUUGCUUUAUGGUGGGCAUCUUCAAAGAAAACAGAAUGUCCAGAAUGCAGAGAAAAAUGGGAAGGUUUCCCCAAAGGAUGCCAUUGAAAAGUUAUUUCCUGAUGCCAUUAGACUGAGAUUUGAAGACAUUCAGCAGAAUAAUGACAUAGUCCAAAGUCUUGCAGCCUUUCAGAAAUAUGGGAAUGAUCAGAUUCCUUUAGCUCCUAACACAGGCCGAGCGAAUCAGCAGAUGGGAGGGGGAUUCUUUUCCGGUGUGCUCACAGCUUUAACUGGAGUGGCAGUGGUCCUGCUCGUCUAUCACUGGAGCAGCAGGGAAUCUGAACACGACCUCCUGGUCCACAAGGCUGUGGCCAAAUGGACGGCGGAAGAAGUUGUCCUCUGGCUGGAGCAGCUGGGCCCUUGGGCAUCUCUUUACAGGGAAAGGUUUUUAUCUGAACGAGUAAAUGGAAGGUGAGGAGCAAAGUCUUCUGACACACCGUGGACAUUUUAGAAAACAGCUUUCUUGAGAUAUAAUCCAGGCCAGGCGCGGUGGCUCACACCUGGAUCCCAGCACUUUGGGAGGCCGAGGCGGAUCGAUCAUUUGAGGUCAGGAGUUCCAGACCAGCCUGACCAAUAUGAUGAAACCCCAUCUCUACUAAAAAUACAAAAAAAAAAAAUUGGCCAGGCUUGGUAGUGCACACCUUGUAAUCCCAUCUAUUCGGGAGGCUGAGACAGGAGAAUCACUUGAACCCAAGAGGUGGAGGUUACAAUGAGCCAAGAUCAUGCCACUGCACUCCAGCCUAGGCAACAAGGCAAGACUCCAUCUCAAAAAGAGAGAGAGAGAGAUGUAAUCUACAUAAAAUUCACACGUUUGAAGUGCACAAUCCAUGGUUUUUAAUGUGUUCACAAAUAGUGUGAUUAUCACCACAGCUGGUUUUAGAACAUUUUCAUCACCCUAAAAGAAAGCUUUUACCCUUCAGUCAAUCCUCAUUUCUCCCCAACCCCCAGCCCCUGGCAAACACCAUUCUACUUUCUGUCUUUAUGGAUUUGUCUA